AUGCGACGAUCACGCGCGUGGGUUAAUAUGAGACACAAUACUCUUGUAAAGAAUGCAAUUUCAUCCUCUUCACAUGAUUCUCAAGAAACAGCAAGCCUAAAUGAAGAUAUUGAAUGUAGCUCUGUACCUGAAGACCGCACUUCCCCUACACCACCAUCACAGGAAAAAUCAAGAAAGAGGAAGGAAAAGAGUAAGGAAGGCGAUGAUGGUGCUCCUCUGCAGCAACGUAAACGGAGCAUCUGUACCGAUUCUCCUUGUACUGAUAGUGCAUUACAAGGUCCAAGUCUUCGCUCCCCUACUCCACCAUCCAAGGUGCUUGCUCUAACUUGGCAGUGUGAUAUCUGGUUGCAUGUUGCAUAUGGUGUCUAG
rnacentral:rRNA from 1 species